rnacentral:rRNA from 1 species
AUACGUAGGUGACAAGCGUUAUCCGGAUUUACUGGGCGUAAAGGGCGUGUAGGCGGUCCGGUAAGUCUGGAGUGAAAGUCCUGUUUUUAAGAUGGGAAUUGCUUUGGAUACUGUCGGGCUUGAGUGCAGGAGAGGUAAGUGGAAUUCCCAGUGUAGCGGUGAAAUGCGUAGAGAUUGGGAGGAACACCAGUGGCGAAGGCGACUUUCUGGACUGUAACUGACGCUGAGGCGCGAAAGUGUGGGGAGCAAACAGGAUUAGAUACCCUGGUAGUCCACACUGUAAACGAUGAAUGCUAGGUGUAAGAGGUAUCGACCCCUUUUGUGCCGGAGUCAACACAAUAAGCAUUCCGCCUGGGGAGUACGGCCGCAAGGUUGAAACUCAAAGGAAUUGACGGGG